rnacentral:rRNA from 1 species
GUCCUUAGUUACCAGCACGUUAUGGUGGGCACUCUAAGGAGACUGCCGGUGACAACCGGAGGAAGGUGGGGAGUGACGUCAAGUCAUCAUGGCCCUUACGGCCUGGGCUACACACGUGCUACAAUGGUCGGUCAAAGGGUUGCCAAGCCGCGAGGUGGAGCUAAUCCCAUAAAAACCGAAUCGUAGUCCGGAUCGCAGUCUGCAACUCGACUGCGUGAAGUCGGAAUCGCUAGUAAUCGUGAAUCAGAAUGUCACGGUGAAUACGUUCCCGGGCCUU